UCAUGAAGUCACAUGAGUGGGAGAUCUGUUUACAAGAUCUCGCUGCCAAAAAUUCACACUCGAAUUCGAGCGAAUGAAAUUCUCCAUUCUUGUUUUUGACGGAGCAAAGAAUAUAGAGUUUAACUAAAUCUACCGACCCGAAUGCAAUACUUCCUGAGCAGCAGGAAGUCUUCCACUUUGAGAGGCCCCAGCUCACAGCAGCGGCUGCGUGCCAGGAUGUGGUGCAGAGGCUGGCUGGAGGUUGGAGCCUCGGUGCUAGGGAGCUGAUGACUGUCAGAUAUGUUCAUCAGCGUCAGCCGCUGUUUUCACGGCUUCUCGGCCACUAUUGCACGCUGAUGGCAAUUACCGGUAGAGACUCGUUGACCCCCGAGUGAUGCAUUUCACGACGAUGCGAGACAGUGACAUACAAACAGUGCGGCUGAGUGAGGACACCGGUGCUGACCUUACGCUUUCUGUCCUACAGCCAUUUGUCAGUGUGAAAGGUAUGUAACCUCAUAGUCUAGCCACUGAGACACUCAGUGGACGUCCAAGUCAGCUGGUCGUCUGAUUUAUGAAGCUUGUCCUCAAACAACUGUAUGUCCGCAUGACUUAACCACAUUAUAUAUAAUAUAUAUAAUGUAAUAUAUAUAUAAUAACCACAUUUUUGCAUACAAUAUAGCCACACAUUAAGCACAACGGUGGGCUGAAAGCAAAAGUAAAUCUGAUAAAUGAAUCCAAAUCUGGACUGAAAGGAAAGAACCUUAGUGUUUUCACCCUCAAAGGACAACAAUUGCAAAUGAAUGUAUAUUCUGGGUAAACAUUUGAGUGUUUUCCAGUUGUGUAUUGACUCUUCUGUUGAGAAAUAAAAAGACUGACCUUCUGUUAAUAUGCUAACAACGCUGAGUAAGCUGAACAUAUCAAGAUGACCGUGACCGACAGACAAAUGUCCAUGUACAGGUACAUGUGAUGAUUAUGAUUAGUGCCCCACCCAGGCCAUUACUGUGAUUAUUUAAUGGCGCCAGCUUAUCAGAGGUCCAUGUUUCUCCCACAUUACUGACACGGUACACCUGACAAAAAUAAAACGUGAGAAUAUGAAGGACAAAUACAGUUCUGUAUGAGGACGUGUUCAGAGGAAUUGUGGGCGAUGUUUAUUUGCUUUAAAGAAUGAAACUUGGAUGAUUACAACUAGA